CAUACCACACUGAACGCGCCGGAUCUCGUCUGAUCUCGGAAGCUAAGCAGGGUUGGGCCUGGUUAGUACUUGGAUGGGAGAAACACAAAGGUU
rnacentral:rRNA from 1 species